AAUUACAGAAUUACAGUGCAAUAUCGUCAUCUGUGGGUAGUAAACUACCCCGGGUUCUAAAAACUUCCGUGGGUCGAUGUUCGGCGAUGCAUCAACCGUGAGGGUUUCAAUCGUGAAUAUAAUAGGGUUAUCAAUUUGAGGUAGUCAAGGUUUUUAAGAUAGUUGUGUCAAGGAAGUUGACAGAUUUCUCAGAGAAGGAAAAGUCAAAUUUGAUGGUAUAAGAUUUUCAGGAGCUUGUUGGAGGAGCUCCUGUUCAAGUGCUGCCAUGAAUAUGUUUGCAUAGGGGUAAUUGUGUUGAUUUCUUUCAACAUGUCUAUACAGGCUUGGAUGCCUUGAUCAUUAGAAAAGAGGCAUAUAUGGUCUUGUAUGGUGUGUGUUUGGGUGUCGGGACAAAGGCCUUCUAUUAUUGAAUCAGUUUCCUGAUCGGAUAUGAUCAAUUUGUGGCCAAAAAUAAGGGAGGUGUCCAAGUCUGUUAUGUCUCCGUCGUCAGUCUGUAAAAAUUCGUUUAUUUGUUCCUCGGACAUGUCCGGUGAGGGUGGGGGGUUGGGUUGGAUUGGGCAUGGGUUAGUGUCAAGGGUGGGGAUUGCGUUGUCAGGGUUAUCAAUCAACAUAUUCUGGGGGUCGGUUAGGUUUUUGGUAGGGUUUUCGGUCGGGUUGCUUCGAUUUUUGGAGUUGAAUGGGACUUCUUAAAAAUUAAGGUUAUCCUUUGUGAGUAAUAGUUCCAUUGAGUAGUGAUCGUUGUGUUUGUUAGUAAGUGUGUUAGGGGUGUGUGAAUAAACAAGGGGGACUGUUUUCUGGUUAACUGUAUGAGAUUGAUUCAAUUGUUACAACUAGAACUAAACAAUAUGGCGAGCUUGGUGGCGCUCUCUGGUUAUUUUUAUUUCUAUUUCUACGCCCCUCAAUUCGCAAUUAACCAUUCAACAAAUUACUCAUUAUGUUCCCCUUUAGCCCACAUACACAUAACGUCUUUUUUUUCUCUAGUUUGUCUAAUUCAGACAAUUGU